CCUACGGGAGGCAGCAGUGGGGAAUUUUGGACAAUGGGGGCAACCCUGAUCCAGCCAUGCCGCGUGAGUGAAGAAGGCCUUCGGGUUGUAAAGCUCUUUCAGACGGAAAGAAAACGCAUCGGUGAAUACCCGGUGUGGAUGACGGUACCGUAAGAAGAAGCACCGGCUAACUACGUGCCAGCAGCCGCGGUAAUACGUAGGGUGCGAGCGUUAAUCGGAAUUACUGGGCGUAAAGCGUGCGCAGGCGGUUAUGUAAGACAGAUGUGAAAUCCCCGGGCUCAACCUGGGAACUGCGUUUGUGACUGCAUAACUAGAGUACGGCAGAGGGAGGUGGAAUUCCGCGUGUAGCAGUGAAAUGCGUAGAUAUGCGGAGGAACACCGAUGGCGAAGGCAGCCUCCUGGGCCAGUACUGACGCUCAUGCACGAAAGCGUGGGGAGCAAACAGGAUUAGAUACCCCUGGUAGUCCACGCCCUAAACGAUGUCAACUGGUUGUUGGGUCUUAACUGACUCAGUAACGAAGCUAACGCGUGAAGUUGACCGCCUGGGGAGUACGGCCGCAAGGUUGAAACUCAAAGGAAUUGACGG
rnacentral:rRNA from 1 species